UCCUCCCUGGCGCAAUUGGCUAGCGCGUCCGACUGUUAAUCGGUUUAUCCGAUCAGCGAUCGGGAGGUUCAUGGUUCGAGCCCAUGGGGGGGAG